AUUGAACGCUGGCGGCAGGCUUAACACAUGCAAGUCGAACGAGUGGCGGACUGGUGAGUAAUGCUUUGGAAUCUAGCUUAUGGAGGGGGAUAACUACGGUAAACUGUAGCUACUACCGCUUACCGUAGGUUGAGCCCUAGUGGGUUUAGGUAGUUGGUGAGGUAAAGGCUCACCAAGCCGACGAGCUCUAGCUGGUCUGAGAGGAUGACCAGCCACACGGGGACGGAGACACGGCCCAGACUCCUACGGGAGGCAGCAGUGGGGAAUAUUGCGCAAUGGGGGCAACCUGACGCAGCAAUGCCGCGUGAAUGAAGAAGGCCUUCGGGUUGUAAAGUUCUUUCGGUAGCGAGGCGUUAACUACAGAGGAAGCACCGGCUAACUCCGUGCCAGCAGCCGCGGUAAUAC
rnacentral:rRNA from 1 species